rnacentral:rRNA from 1 species
GAUGAACGCUAGCUACAGGCUUAACACAUGCAAGUCGAGGGGUAACGAGAGGAAAGCUUGCUUUCCUUGUCGACGACCGGCGCACGGGUGAGUAACGCGUAUCCAACCUGCCCCCAACUAGGGAAUAACCUUGCGAAAGUAAGACUAAUACCCUAUAAUUUCCUCAGAUGUCAUCUGACGAGGAAUAAAGAUUUAUCGGUUGUGGAUGGGGAUGCGUCUGAUUAGCUUGUUGGCGGGUAACGGCCCACCAAGGCAACGAUCAGUAGGGGUUCUGAGAGGAAGGUCCCCCACAUUGGAACUGAGACACGGUCCAAACGCCUACGGGAGGCAGCAGUGAGGAAUAUUGGUCAAUGGGCGGAAGCCUGAACCAGCCAAGUAGCGUGCAGGAUGACGGCCCUAUGGGUUGUAAACUGCUUUUAUACAGGAAUAAAGUUAGCCACGUGUGGUUAUUUGUAGGUACUGUAUGAAUAAGGACCGGCUAAUUCCGUGCCAGCAGCCGCGGUAA